GACGAACGCUGGCGGCGUGCUUAACACAUGCAAGUCGAACGGAAAGGCCCUGCUUUUGUGGGGUGCUCGAGUGGCGAACGGGUGAGUAACAUGUGAGUAACCUGCCCUUGACUUUGGGAUAACUUCAGGAAACUGGGGCUAAUACCUGAUAGGAGCUCCUGCUGCAUGGUGGGGGUUGGAAAGCUUCGGCGGUUGGGGAUGGACUCGCGGCUUAUUAGCUUGUUGGUGGGGUAGUGGCUUACCAAGGCUUUGACGGGUAGCCGGCCUGAGAGGGUGACCGGCCACAUUGGGACUGAGAUACGGCCCAGACUCCUACGGGAGGCAGCAGUGGGGAGUAUUGCACAAUGGGCGGAAGCCUGAUGCAGCAACGCCGCGUGCGGGAUGACGGCCUUCGGGUUGUAAACCGCUUUCGCCUGUGACGAAGCGUGAGUGACGGUAAUGGGUAAAGAAGCACCGGCUAACUACGUG
rnacentral:rRNA from 1 species